AAAAUGCGAUAAGUAAUGUGAAUUGCAGAAUUCAGUGAAUCAUCGAAUCUUUGAACGCACAUUGCGCCCGCCAGUAUUCUGGCGGGCAUGCCUGUCUGAGCGUCAUUUCAACCCUCAGGACCCGUUCGCGGGACCUGGCGUUGGGGAUCAGCCUGCCCCUGGCGGUGGCUGGCCCUGAAAUCCAGUGGCGGUUCCCUCGCGAACUCCUCCGUGCAGUAAUUAAACCUCUCGCGGCAGGAUAGCGGUUGAACCACGCCGUUAAACCCCCCACUUCUCAAGGUUGACCUCAGAUCAGGUAGGAAUACCCGCUGAACUUAAGC
rnacentral:misc_RNA from 1 species